rnacentral:rRNA from 1 species
GGACGAAUCUUCCGCAAUGGGCGCAAGCCUGACGGAGCAAUACCGCGUGUGGGAUGAAGCGGCUACGCCGUGUAAACCACUGUCAGGGGACGGAAUCAAUGAUUGUCCCCAAAGGAAGAGACGGCUAACUCUGUGCCAGCAGCCGCGGUAAUACAGAGGUCUCGAGCGUUAAUCGGAAUUACUGGGCUUAAAGGGUGCGUAGGCGGCCCCGAAAGCGUCGUGUGAAAGCCCCUGGCUCAACCAGGGAACU